rnacentral:lncRNA from 1 species
ACAUCAUACGGGUUUGUUUGACUAACUGUCAAUGGAUGGACGCUUGGCCACCAUGCAAGCCUUCUCUGGCCUUUAAUUUUGUACGAAGUCCUAUUUUGUAGAAAGAAUACACUGAUAGUUAGGUUAGUUGAUUAUGGUUCUGGGUUACUUAAUGUGGUAGUUAGCUUCAUUUUAUGGUUUGACUAAUGUAUACCAAUUAUUUGACAAUAAG